rnacentral:misc_RNA from 1 species
AUAUUUUUUUAGAAAACAUUUUUCUAGCUGCAAGUUAUUUUCUGCCAAAUAAAUGAAAGCUUAGUCUAGGAAUACGUUGGCAGUAACUAGGACUUAUUUUUUUCUCUUUUCAAGAGAAAACGCAAUGAAAGGAACCCAAGGGCAAAAGUCUGCCAAAACCAUCCUCUUGCAUUAACAGGAUCCACCCGUUUUGCUAGACGCCAUGCAUAUAUGGCCUCACAAAUAUGCGCUGUUGUAGCUAGAAGAAAUACUGUCCUUGUCAUCCACAUCGAACGGAAGACGAAAAGACUGAUAGCUCUGAAGAGCGGCACUGGUCCUGUAUCUGGUAAGUAAGCUGCACAGAAUAAUGUACCCAUCCCAAUCACACAAAACAGCCAUGCAUAUAUGGUAGGUCCAUCCAACAUUUUCCUUUUCCUGUCCUGCCAGUAGCAGAUGGUUGCAGCCAUGCCUUCCCGAGGAGUCACCAUUGGAACAUAGCCAAGCUCCUGCUUAGCUUUAAGGAAAGAGAAAUAAUGGGUCACACCAACCUUGUAUACUUCAGCUGGAAGGAUAAAUGGCUGAGGAAGCCACCAUCUAUUCAACCAGGGAUACAAGAGUGUAUAGAUAGCCUGGAAAAUCUUUCCUAGAAUGAGAGCAUGGGGUACAGUUAAAGAAGCUGUUGGCAGAUCAUAAUCUAGACUUCUGAGAAGGGGUCGGAGGAAUUCAAAACUGUUGAUUGGAGAUCCAUCAGAUAUAAAGUAUGGCUGUCCAGCAGCUACAGGAUGUUCUCCAGUCAUGGGAAUGUCAUCCAAGAGUCCCAUGCUUGCCAAUAUCAGUGCAAGCACAAGGUUAUCUACAUAAACCCAGUCAGUCUUCACAUUUGCAUCACCGAUUAUGAAAGGCAGCAGACCCAACUUUGCAAAGGACAUGAUCCUUGGAAAGUGUCUUUCUUCACCUGGCCCAUAUAUAGCAGCUGGACGAAUUGCACAUGUAUAAAAACGUUUUCCGUUAUUCUUCUUCAGAGGACGGCCGUUGUACUUCAGAACCAACUGUUCAGCAAUUGAUUUGCUACUUCCAUAUGGAUCAACAUGGUCAUCAAUUGGGAAGUAAGGCAAGGCUUCAUUGCCAUUCACAAUCUCCUUUCCCCCAAAGACGACAUUAUAUGUGCUCACAUAAACAAGCCUUUUGAUCCCAAACUCAAUGCAUGCUUCCAGAAUAUGGCAGGUUCCAUUUAUAUUCACCUCAUCAAUGCGGCCAAACUGCAGCAUUUCUUUCCCUGACAUGCCAAAUGAAGCAAGAUGGAAGACACAAUCCACACCACGUAAAGCUUUUUCAACAUCUCUUUUGUAGGUGAGAUCCCCUUGAAUGCACUGAACUCCAUGAGUAGUGAGUUUGUGAGACCAAGAAGAAUUGAGACGAAGGUCAAAGGCUCGGACCUGGCGAGCACCUCUGCGGACCAGCUCCAGACAGAGUGCGGAGCCGACGAAGCCCAGCCCACCAGUCACCACGAAGGUGUUGCCUUCUAUCCCUUCGUUUUCGCUCAAGUGCAUUUUCAAGAUUUAUUAUUUUUCUCUCUUUCUGCCUUUCUUUUGAUGGAAGAUGCACUCUGGGCUGCGUCUAGAGGGAGGAGGCUG